CCUACGGGAGGCAGCAGUUGGGAAUAUUGGUCAAUGGGCGAAAGCCUGAACCAGCCAAGUCGCGUGAAGGAUGACUGCCCUACGGGUUGUAAACUUCUUUUAUAUGGGAAUAAAAUGCUCUACGUGUGGGAUUUUGUAUGUACCGUAUGAAUAAGGAUCGGCUAACUCCGUGCCAGCAGCCGCGGUAAUACGGGGGAUGCAAGCGUUAUCCGGAUUUAUUGGGGUUAAAGGGUGCGUAGGGUGGGAUGUAAGUCAGCGGUGGAAUGCCCCCGCUCAACGGGGUGGAGUGCCAUUGAUACUGCCGGGCUAGAAUGCGGAUGCGGUGGGAGGAAUGUGUGGUGUAGCGGUGAAAUGCAUAGAUAUCACACAGAACACCGAUUGCGAAGGCAUCUCACGAAGCCGCGAUUGACGCUGAUGCACGAAAGCGUGGGGAUCAAACAGGAUUAGAUACCCGAGUAGUC
rnacentral:rRNA from 1 species